GCUCUUCCCCUUCCUUCCCUCUCUCUUUCUCUUUCUCUCUCUCUCGCUGCCUUGUGAAGAAGGUGUCUGCUUCCCCUUCAUCUUCCACCAUGAUUGUAAGUUUCCUGAGGCCUCCUCAUCCAUAUGGAACUGAACCAUGAUAGUGUUUGGUACAUAGAGGACACUGGAAAUAGUUUUCUUAACUGAACAAGUGACUAGAAUAAAGGAAUUAAUGAACGACAUCAGAGCCAAAAUCCCAAACCGUAAAUCAUAAAAGGAUCAGACAGCAAAGGUUUUGAUAUCAGGAUGAUGUUGGCCUCAUAGAAUGAGACAGGGAGGAUUCCCUCUUCAAUUUAUCAGAAUAGAAAAGGUAACAGCUCUUCUUUAUACAUCUGGUAGUAUUUGGCUGUGAUUUUGGUAGAAGGUUUUUUCUGGUUGACAGAUUUUUUAUUAAUGAUUUAAUUUUGGAACUUGUUAUUGGUCUGUAUAGGGUUACAAAUUUUCCAGGUUCAAUCUUGGGAAGUUGCUUGUUUCCAGGAAUUAAUCCAUUUUGUGUAAUUUUCUAGUUUGUUUGCUUAGGGGUGUUCACAAUAGUCUCUAAGGGUUUUCUGUAUUUCUGUGAGGUCACUAGUAAUGUUUCCUUUGCCAUUUCUGAUUGUGAUUAUUUGGAUCUUCCCUCUUUUUUCUUUAUCAUUCUAGCUGAAAGUCUGUCAAUCUUACAUAUACUUUCAAUGGACAAACUUAUGAUUUUGUGUUCUUUUGUAUACUAUUUUUUGCAUCUCAAUUUUUUUCACUUCAGCUCAACUCUAUGCCAUCUUCAAGAGACCCAUCUUACAUACAAUAAAACACCCACAGGCUCAAAGUAAAAGGACUGAAAAAAAUAUACCAAGCAAACAGAAAACAAACAAACAAAAAAACUGAGGUUACCAUUCUAAUUUCAGACAAAACAGAGUUUAAACCAACAAUAAUCAAAAAAGAUAAAGAAGGGCAUUACAUAAUGAUAAAGGGUUCAAUUCAACAAGAAGGCUUAAGUAUCCUAAAUAAAUAUGUACACACAACACAGGAACACCCAGAUUUAUAAAACAAGCUCUUAGAGACAUACAAAGAGACUUAGAUAACCACACAGUAAUAGUGGGAUAUUUCAAUAUCCAUGGACAGUAUUAAAUAAUUCAUGGAGGCAGAAAAUUACCAAUGAUAUUCCAGACCUAAACUCAAAACUUGACCAAAUGGAACUGGCAGACAUCUACAGAACUCUUCACCCAACAACAACAAAAAAUACAUUCUUCUCCUCUGCACAAGGCACAUGUCUAAAAUCGACCACACAAUUGGCCAUGAAACAAUUUUCAGCAAAUUCAGAAAACCAAAAAUCAUACCAACCACACUCUCAGACCACAGCACAAUAAAAAUAGAUAUUAAUAUUAAGAAUAUUGCUCAAAACCGUACAAUUACAUUGAAAUUAAACGAUCUUCUUCUGAAUUACUUUCAGUUAAACAAUGAAAUAAAGGCAAAAAUCAAUAAAUUCUUUGAAACUGAUAUAAACAAAGACAUACAUGUCAGAAUCUCUGGAAUGCAGCUAAAGCAGUAUUAAGAGGAAAGUUUAUACUGCCAAACGCCCACAUCAAAAAGUUAGAAAGAUCUCACAUUAAAAACUUAACAUCACACCUAGAAGAAGUAGAAAAAUACGAGCAAACCAACCCCAAAGCCAGCAGAAGACAAGAAAUAACUAAAAAUAAAAUAAAAUAAGACAGAACUGAACUUUAAGAUACUGAGUCAUUGAAAAUAUUUUAAAUGGCCACAAGCUAUCAUAGAAAAUAUUUUAAAUGGCCGCAAGCUAUAGUACUAAUAAGAAAAAAUAAGCAAUGUAAUAAUUAUUUAAAAAUGACAUUUGGAUUUCAGCACCUUAUUUUGUUAGUUUAUUUCUUUUCCUGAGGAUAAGAAUAUUGAAAAAAUGCCAGUGAUUAUUAACAGAUGAUUAGAUACCAAGCUCAAGCAGAAAGUCAGGAAUCUCAACAACACCAUUUCUUUAAAGCUGAUGUUAACAGCCAUGAACCUAUUGAUACAGCUAUUUUUAAAAUGGAGUAUUUGAAGAGAAAUUUUUCAGAUACAUCAUAGUUGAAAUAUGUUUACUUUCUAUAUUAGUUGUUGAAAUUUCUGAAAAUUAAUAUAGUGAUAUGCAAGAACACCAAAGACGGAGUCUACAGCUUCACAGUAUAAAUAGGUGUGUGGUUUAAUCAGGAAGCAGUCUUUCAUACUAGUUUAGAAUCUCUGGAAUCAAAUUGUCAGGACAUAGACUUGACUGUUUCAUUCACUAACUGUAAGAUACUGGGCAAGAUUGUCCAUUUUCUAUACUUGAGUCUCUUCAACUCUAGACUGGGUAUUAUAAUGGUUCCUACUUCAUGGCUAAGUUCUGAGUAUUAAACGUGAUGUUAUAUGUAUAAUAUAACCUGGGAUUGUGCUUAGCAGUCCUAGAUACAGAAUAACAGUGACUUAAGUGAUGUAAACAAGCAAACACACAAUAAAGUUCAUUUAUCUUUCAUAUAGAAACUAAGAAUCAUGUGGAAUCUGGAAGUCCAGUGUGGAUAUGGCAGUUUGCUUCAUAAACUACCUGUCUAUCCAGGCUUUUUUGCUCAGGAACAAAUCAUGGUGCAUACAUCUGCUCCUUCUGCCUCUGUGUCUACACAUCAGGUUACAGGAAGGGGGUAAGGGACAGGGAAACAGGACAAAGGAUCGACAACUACUGUCUCUUAAGAAGGGUUCCUGAAAAGGUCCACAUGACUUCUGCCCAACUUCACAUACCCCAGUGACCAAAAUUUGGUCAAAUAAUACACUUCUCUACAAGAAAGCUGGACAAUGUGAUGUCUAUUGGUUUGCUUAUGUGCCCAGCUAACAAUUGGGAGUUUAAAUUCCAUAGACUACAAAGGAAAUAGAUAUUUAGGGAAUACCACUCUCUGUCAUACAAUAGUUUUCAGCACAAACUAAGCACUCAAUUAGAUGUUUGUAAAAUAAGUAUAAAUUACCUACUCACAUCAUGCUGGACUAAUAGGUAGUGAGUUAACUCUUUGAAUGAGUCCAUUUUUGUUAAUUACAUUCGUUAAACUUGCUAAAGUGUAAAAAGAAAGCACCUAAUUUUCAUUCUUUCUUUUUUGCCUUAGAAAUAUUAAAAAAGAGCAGUUACCUUCUACCUUUAAUGAUGAACACAUACUUAAGUUCAGUAUUAACAAGAAGUUUUGGAGGGUAAUAUCUAUUAAAGUAAUAAACAGAUGUAGAUGUGGGAACUGCAUUGUUCUCUGAAAUUCAGAUUCCAAAGGGGAAUUCUUUUAGGAAAAAGAACUAAAAGCAUAUUCAAUCAGACUUUUCAAAGAGAUCAUCAUGAGCAGAACUAUAUCUUUGUUAAAAAAAAGAGUAGUCAUGAUUGCAGAAAGUUCAGUUUAGAAGAAUAGUCAAUUAAAAUUGAUACUGAUUUCCCCAGGUGUAUAUAAUAUAUGUUACAUUUUGAUGUAUCCUUGUAUGUGUGACAAUGUUUUGUAGCCUAAAAUAAUAUAAUACACUUCCAUCAGAGGGCUAUCUUUUUCACAAGAAUUUGAUAAUCAUAUUUUAUUAUCCAAAAUAUUUGGCCUUUAUAUUUCACAUUGUGGUAUCAGAUGACUGGCCCUCACUUGAUGAUUCUUUAUUAUCCUUAACCACUGCAGAGGAGGACAGAAAGAGGGAUGUGAUUAAUGCUUUAGUCAAUGAAAUGUCACAUAGCAGAAGACAAGCACAGUGAUUGCAAAUCAAACUGUUAUUUCUAUCUUAGGCUUUCUAUUCAUUAUUUAUGUAAGAUAUAGGUACUCUAUUGGCUUAUUAUUACUCAAAAUUAUUAAAUGUUAAUAGUGAAAGACAAUGAAACAAAGCUAUGGUAUCUAUGAUAUAAUUGUGUAUAUUCAUACAUAAUUCAUUAUAGAUGCAUCUCAUAUUGUGGAAUGAAUGGUAUAAAGAAUAAAAACAGAAGGAAAGCAGUAAAAUAGAAAACAAAGAGCUUGCUAGCUGGGACUAAUUUCCAAAAUUCAAAUUUGAAAGAGAAAGGCUUUUAUUCCAAAAGUUUAGCAACCAAGUCAUCUGCUGCUAGAAAGCAGAGGAAUCGGUGUGUUUCUAAAAAGACACCACAAAAAAUUAGACGCUUUUUAUAUGAAAAGAAAAAAAAAGAAGUGGCAGAUUUCUGCAUCUCUACAUAGUACCACUCAAACUUUCAAGAACACAUUUUGGGCAAAAAUCUGCUUCCUUAAUUAAGGGCAGAUAUAACAUGUGAAUAAAUGAUAACACUCUCAAACUAUGGGAUAAAUAAAGUUAACCAGCUGUAUUUAACCUAAUCUUAAAAGGACAAAAGAGAUGAACAUCUGCUAGGACAUGAGUUAAAGUCUAGAUUCCAGCUAUGGUGAUUUUAUUAGGCAAGCAGGAUCAAAGAUGACUAAAUCUAAGCAAUAUUCUAAAUGAAGCUGCCCACAGAUGCUCUAAAUUAAUCAAAAUAUCCUGUGUUCAUUUUUAUGAAACCAAAUGCUUACCCACAUAAAAAUAAAAGAGAAACCAACAGUACAUUCAUAUCUAACAUAUAUUUGCCCAAGAAAAAAAUGUUUUUAAACCAUCAGGACAAAUGAUGUAAAUUUUCAAUGUAAUUUGACAUUAUGCUUAUGUAGUACAAGUGUGUCUUUAAACAAUUGAAUUGGGACCAUUGUGAAUAAUACAUGUAUUUUAAAAUUACUAAUCUCCAACUCAGAACAAAGGAAUCAUAUUUUUUAGAACUUAGGCCAUUGAAUGUAGAUUUUAAUAAGUUUCCCAAGAGAUUCUCAUGCUCAUCAAAGUCUGAGAACCACUUUUUACACUAUAGUAUAUUCUAUUACCUGAUAUUAUAUAAUUUUAAUUAAAUUGCUACUCUUCAUAACAAAUCAUUUUCAUGCAUAGUUGUUACAUGUAUUAGAGAGCUAUUGCUGCAAUAAUACUGCAUAAAAAAUAACCCCAAAUUUCAGUGGCUGUACCAAAACAAACCUUCAUUUUAUAUUUUCGUAUAGGUGUAUUUGGGACCAAGGCAUAUUUGUUUUAAGAUCUGGACUGGCUGGUCUUGGUUCCAGCAUUCAAGUCCAGUUGAAGUCUUUUUCAUGUGCCCACUCUGGGGUCCACAUAUGUCCUUCCAGAGAACACAGGCACACAAAAAUAAGUGUGUAUGCACACCCACAUUGAGUGUCUCCUCUUGCUUCAGAAGUUGGUUUUCUUGUUUGUUCCAUCAGACUGCAUCUGUUGGCCUAAUUGCCUACUAUCAUCCACACGGGGAUUUUUCCUGUUGUCUCUCUCUUUUUUUUCCAAUUCUUAUGCAAAAUUUUAUCUCCUCAGAUAUGUCCCUAUCUUCACCCGUUCCAGUUUACUCCUUAGCCUAUCUUCUAAUGCUAUUUUCUUAU